AUAACAGGGAACUUUUAAAGCCAGGUAGUGAGUUUUCAAAAUGUAAACACUUUGACAAGCAAUCCUUGGCUAGCUCUGAUCUCGUUUUCCAAUAGGUUGGACUGCAUGUAAUUUGUGUCAUUCUAUCCAUCCUUUGUAGGUGAGAAUGUUCCGUAUAUCAUGCUGGAUGUGGUGGCACAUGCCUCUAAUUACAGCAACUCAAGGGGGCUGAGGCAGGAAGAUGGCAUGUGGGGACCAACUCAGCAAUUUAUCAAGACCCUGUCUCA
rnacentral:lncRNA from 1 species